CCUACGGGUGGCAGCAGUGAGGAAUAUUGGUCAAUGGCCGAAAGGCUGAACCAGCCAAGCCGCGUGAAGGACGAAGGUGCCAAGCAUUGUAAACUUCUUUUGUCAGGGGACAAAAUCCGGCUCGAGAGCCGGACCGAGGGUACUUGAAGAAAAAGCAUCGGCUAACUCCGUGCCAGCAGCCGCGGUAAUAAGGAGGAUGCGAGCGUUAUCCGGAUUUAUUGGGUUUAAAGGGUGCGUAGGCGGUCUGUUAAGUCAGCGGUAAAAGUGCGGGGCUCAACCCCGGCGAGCCGUUGAAACUGGCUGUCUUGAGAUGUCGAGAGGUAUGCGGAAUGCGCAGUGUAGCGGUGAAAUGCUUAGAUAUUGCGCAGAACUCCGAUUGCGAAGGCAGCAUACCGGCGGCGAUCUGACGCUGAGGCACGAAAGCGUGGGUAUCGAACAGGAUUAGAUACCCUUGUAGUC
rnacentral:rRNA from 1 species